GAAAUGCGAUACGUAAUGCGAAUUGCAGAACUUUGUGAAUCAUCAAAAUUUUGAACGCACCUUGCACUUCUGUUCACGCAGAAGUAUGUCUGUUGGAGUGUCCGUUUAUCCCUACUAUAUGAUCAUCGGUCGUAUAAAGUCGGUUAUUUUCUUUCACCGAAAAUAGCUCAGAUGACGUACACUAAAGGUACAAUCCCACUGCUUGGUUUAGAGAACCAUGCACGACGUGAUUUUUCAUAACGUGCAUCUUUAUACCAUUAAGAGCGUGCAAGAGAGUAUCAUUUCGGACCUCCAAUCAGUCAAGAUUACCCGCUGAAUUUAA
rnacentral:misc_RNA from 1 species